GUGGGGAAUUUUGGACAAUGGGGGCAACCCUGAUCCAGCGACGCCGCGUGAGUGAUGAAGGCCUUCGGGUCGUAAAGCUCUGUUGCAGGGGAAGAACACAAUGACGGUACCCUGCUAGAAAGGAUCGGCUAACUUCGUGCCAGCAGCCGCGGUAAGACGAGGGAUCCUAGCGUUGUUCGGAAUUAUUGGGCGUAAAGCGGGUGCAGGUGGCUUGGUAAGUCAGAUGUGAAAGCCUGGGGCUUAACCCCAGAAGUGCAUUUGAUACUGCUGAGCUUGAGUGCUGGAGAGGCUAUUAGAAUUCCUGGUGUAGUGGUGAAAUACGUAGAUAUCAGGAGGAAUACCGGAGGCGAAGGCGGAUAGCUGGCCAGACACUGACACUCAGACCCGAAAGCGUGGGGAUCAAACAGGAUUAGAAACCCGGGUAGUCC
rnacentral:rRNA from 1 species